CUCCAGUCCGGUUAGUGGCGGUUAUGCACUUCAUACGAGUAUGGCAACCACCAAUAGAAACCAACAGAAGAAGAAUGUGCUUUUUGAGUGGCAUGGGCGGAGCCAUCUCUACUCACCUGUUCUUGAUCCAGCAGUAACGAGGCUCCUGUGAGACAGCCAUUCUGUUGACUUUGAUACCUAMCUGUUGGAAACCCUCACCUCUACGGCCUGCUCGAGCCUCUUUGUUGGAUCUUAUAGUGCAAGAUGAGGACCAAAAUUAAGGCAACCAAUUCAAAAAUGUUUGUGUCUAUUAAAGUAGGUGAGCAGCCUAGGCAUGCUAGUCGCUAACCACUCCAGUGCUAAUGC